rnacentral:rRNA from 1 species
GACGAACGCUGGCGGCGUGCCUAAUACAUGCAAGUAGAACGCUGAAGGAGGAGCUUGCUCUUCUGGAUGAGUUGCGAACGGGUGAGUAACGCGUAGGUAACCUGCCUGGUAGCGGGGGAUAACUAUUGGAAACGAUAGCUAAUACCGCAUAACAGUAGAUAUCGCAUGAUAGCUACUUGAAAGGUGCAAUUGCACCACUACCAGAUGGACCUGCGUUGUAUUAGCUAGUUGGUGAGGUAACGGCUCACCAAGGCAACGAUACAUAGCCGACCUGAGAGGGUGAUCGGCCACACUGGGACUGAGACACGGCCCAGACUCCUACGGGAGGCAGCAGUAGGGAAUCUUCGGCAAUGGGGGCAACCCUGACCGAGCAACGCCGCGUGAGUGAAGAAGGUUUUCGGAUCGUAAAGCUCUGUUGUAAGUCAAGAACGAGUGUGAGAGUGGAAAGUUCACACUGUGACGGUAGCUUACCAGAAAGGGACGGCUAACUACGUGCCAGCAGCCGCGGUAAUACGUAGGUCCCGAGCGUUGUCCGGAUUUAUUGGGCGUAAAGCGAGCGCAGGCGGUUUGAUAAGUCUGAAGUUAAAGGCUGUGGCUUAACCAUAGUACGCUUUGGAAACUGUUUAACUUGAGUGCAGAAGGGGAGAGUGGAAUUCCAUGUGUAGCGGUGAAAUGCGUAGAUAUAUGGAGGAGCACCGGUGGCGAAAGCGGCUCUCUGGUCUGUAACUGACGCUGAGGCUCGAAAGCGUGGGUAGCAAACAGG